GAUGAACGCUGGCGGCGUGCCUAAUACAUGCAAGUCGAGCGAACAGACGCUGAGCUUGCUCCUCUGACGUUAGCGGCGGACGGGUGAGUAACACGUGGAUACCCUCCCUAUCAGACUGGGAUAACUUCGGGACACCGGCGCUAAUACCGGAUAAUAUAUUGCACCGCAUGGUUCAAUAGUGAAAGACGGUUUUGCUGUCACUUAUAGAUGGAUCUCGGCCGCAUUAGCUAGUUGGUAAGGUAACGGCUUACCAAGGCUACGAUGCGUAGCCGACCUGAGAGGGGGAUAGGCCACACGGGAACUGAGACACGGUCCAGAGUACUAAGGGACGCAGCAGAAGGGAAUCGUCCGCAAUGGGCGAAAGCCUGACGGAGCGACGCCGAGUGAGAGAUGAAGGUGUUCGGAGCGGAAAAACGUGUUAUGAGUGAAGAACAAAUUUGUAAGUAACUAUGCAGGUCGUGACGGUACCGAAUCAGAAAGCAACGGCUAACUACGUG
rnacentral:rRNA from 1 species